rnacentral:rRNA from 1 species
CUACGGGCUGCACCAGUGAGGAAUUUUGCGCAAUGGGGGGAACCCUGACGCAGCAACGCCGCGUGAGUGAUGAAGGCUUUCGGGUCGUAAAGCUCUGUCAAGUGGGAAGAACCUAUGCAGUGUUAAUAUCACUGUAUACUGACGGUACCACUGAAGGAAGCACCGGCUAACUCCGUGCCAGCAGCCGCGGUAAUACGGGGGGUGCAAGCGUUAUUCGGAAUCAUUGGGCGUAAAGGGCACGUAGGCGGCUUGGUAAGUCAGAUGUGAAAGCCCGGGGCUUAACCCCGGAAGUGCAUUUGAUACUGUCAGGCUUGAGUAUGGGAGAGGGAAGUGGAAUUCCUGGUGUAGAGGUGAAAUUCGUAGAUAUCAGGAGGAACACCGGUGGCGAAGGCGACUUCCUGGACCAAUACUGACGCUGAGGUGCGAAGGCGUGGGUAGCAAACAGGAUUAGAUACCCCCGUAGUC